rnacentral:lncRNA from 1 species
GUGGGGUUCAAUUUUUCUUAUUUCAGAUUUCAGAAAUGAAAAAGAAAAUUUCUUCAAAUAUCAAAGGAUUAAUAUUCAACAGCAUAGUGAAUUGCUCAAAAGCAAAAAAAAAUAUUUUAAGUUCAUUAGACCACAUUCAUUCUGUGUCAGAAACCUAUGCUGUGUCAACUAUUUAAUCACAAUCCAAAUUCAGAGCUGUAUCCAGUUUGAAUGUUGUGUCCAUACUAGCCCAA